ensembl:processed_transcript
UCUACAGGAGACAAACAACACACACUAAACUAGAGAAUCUGAAGUCCUCAGUGAAAAAACACCAGCCUAAAAACUGACCAGGCUAUCAACAUGAUUUCCCAUCCUGUUUAACUGAUUUUAGAGAGGGUUGACAACUUUAUUUGGCUGAGGCCUGUGCUGUGGGGAAGAACGAAAACCCUCUCUUUUCUCCUCAGAAUAAAUCUUUGUCCUUAAUUUCA